rnacentral:rRNA from 1 species
AUUGAACGCUGGCGGCAUGCUUUACACAUGCAAGUCGAACGGUAACAGGCCGCAAGGUGCUGACGAGUGGCGAACGGGUGAGUAAUGCAUCGGAACGUGCCCAGUCGUGGGGGAUAACGCAGCGAAAGCUGCGCUAAUACCGCAUACGAUCUAUGGAUGAAAGCGGGGGACCGUAAGGCCUCGCGCGAUUGGAGCGGCCGAUGUCAGAUUAGGUAGUUGGUGGGGUAAAGGCUCACCAAGCCAACGAUCUGUAGCUGGUCUGAGAGGACGACCAGCCACAGUGGGACUGAGACACGGCCCAGACUCCUACGGGAGGCAGCAGUGGGGAAUUUUGGACAAUGGGCGCAAGCCUGAUCCAGCAAUGCCGCGUGCAGGAAGAAGGCCUUCGGGUUGUAAACUGCUUUUGUACGGAACGAAAGGGCUCUGGUUAAUACCUGGGGCUCAUGACGGUACCGUAAGAAUAAGCACCGGCUAACUACGUGCCAGCCGCCGCCGUAACAC